CCCUCGGGUUUCCGCCAGUCUGCCUCCCGCAAGUUUUGAGAACGGGGUCCCGGGAAACCUGGAGGCCCUGUUCCCCUUCAUGUGAAGUCUCCGCCCGCCGGCCGAGGUUCGGGGGUAAAGAAGCGACUUCCAAGGGAUGGGAGGGGACGGGCCAGGUGGCUCAGUGGUGAAGAGUCUGCCUACCAAUAUAGGAGAUGCAAGAGAUGUCAAUUGGAUCCCUGGGUCGGGAAGAUCCCCUGGAGAAGAAUGCCAUGCAGAACUUCCUCGACCAGGGAUUGAACCUGUGACCCCUGCACUGGAAGCACUGAAUCUUAUCCACUGGCCCACCAGGAAGUCUGCAGUGUCCUCUUGUUUACAGCUGUAGCC